rnacentral:rRNA from 1 species
UACGUAGGGUGCAAGCGUUGUCCGGAAUUAUUGGGCGUAAAGAGCUCGUAGGCGGUCUGUUGCGUCGGCUGUGAAAACCCGGGGCUCAACCCCGGGCCUGCAGCCGAUACGGGCAGACUAGAGUUCGGCAGGGGAGACUGGAAUUCCUGGUGUAGCGGUGAAAUGCGCAGAUAUCGGGAGGAACACCAGUAGCGAAGGCGGCUCGCUGGGCCAUUCCUGACGCUGAGACGCGAAAGCUAGGGGAGCGAACGAGG